GACGAACGCUGGCGGCGUGCUUAACACAUGCAAGUCGAGCGGUAAGGCCCUUUCGGGGGGUACACGAGCGGCGAACGGGUGAGUAACACGUGGGUGACCUGCCCUCAGCUCUGGGAUAAGCCUGGGAAACCGGGUCUAAUACCGGAUAUGACUCCAUGACGCAUGUUGUGGGGUGGAAAGCCUUGUGCGGCUGAGGAUGGGCCCGCGGCCUAUCAGCUUGUUGGUGGGGUGAUGGCCUACCAAGGCGACGACGGGUAGCCGGCCUGAGAGGGCGACCGGCCACACUGGGACUGAGACACGGCCCAGACUCCUACGGGAGGCAGCAGUGGGGAAUCUUGCGCAAUGGGCGAAAGCCUGACGCAGCGACGCCGCGUGAGGGAUGACGGCCUGG
rnacentral:rRNA from 1 species